UACAGAGGUCUCAAGCGUUUGUUCGGAUUCAUUGGGCGUAAAGGGUGCGUAGGCGGCGCGGUAAGUCGGGUGUGAAAUCUCGGAGCUUAACUCCGAAACUGCAUUCGAUACUGCCGUGCUUGAGGACUGGAGAGGAGACUGGAAUUUACGGUGUAGCGGUGAAAUGCGUAGAUAUCGUAAGGAAGACCAGUGGCGAAGGCGGGUCUCUGGACAGUUCCUGACGUGAGGCACGAAGGUCAGGGGGAGCAAACGGG
rnacentral:rRNA from 1 species